rnacentral:lncRNA from 1 species
CAAAUACUGGCGCGGUGGGAUUGUACUGGAAGAAGAGGUGAUACAAUCCUUUGUAGAGCAUCGGUCCUGGCUUAAGUCCAUGAGGUAACGAUCUUUUCUUUCUAUCAUUUUCUUACCAUUGGGAUCUUUUGGGACAGGAAAGAGGAAGAAGAACAUACACAUACAAGGGUGGCUUUUACUUGAGUGACUCUAGAAGUUAUAAUUUUACCAUUCAUCCAGUUCUUGAUGGGUUGGAAGUGGAAUGCAGGGCGUAAGUCAUCCCCCACAGACGAUCCUGCAAGCGAUAAGAUGAUUAUUAUCAGAAGCAUAGCCGGCAUUUGAAAGGCAAGGUUGGUGCAACCAUCUUUUUUAGCUUAAUCGGGUAAAUCAAAUUCGGGAGAAAAAUAAAAGCUGGACAUCUUUUUCUUCGUAGGGAUGACAGGAUUCGAACCUGCGGCCGUUUGUACCCAAAACAAACGCGCUACCGAGCUGCGCUACAUCCCUGGCCGCAAUUUCCAGUGCCGGAAUGCUGCCCCAGGCGAACUUGCAUGUUAGCAAAACAGUUUUGAAACUCUUGACAGGUUCUUUCCGGCUCUUUGUCAAGCAGCUUUCAAAUCCUUCGAAAAAGAUAGGGAAAGUGAAAGUAAAAUAAAAUAGAAUAUUUA